AUACGUAGGUCCCGAACGUUGCGCGAAAUUACUGGGCGUAAAGGGUCCGUAGGCGGUCUGGUAAGUGGAAGGUGAAAGCCUGGGGCUCAACUCCAGAAUUGCCUUCCAAACUGCCGGACUUGAGGCAGGGAGAGGUCGGCGGAAUUCCCGGUGUAGCGGGGAAAUGCGUAGAUAUCGGGAGGAACACCAGUGGCGAAGGCGGCCGACUGGAACUGUCCUGACGCUGAGGGACGAAAGCCAGGGGAGCGAACCGGAUUAGAAACCCUAGUAGUCC
rnacentral:rRNA from 1 species